rnacentral:rRNA from 1 species
UACGUAGGGUGCGAGCGUUGUCCGGAAUUAUUGGGCGUAAAGAGCUUGUAGGCGGUUUGUCGCGUCUGCCGUGAAAGCCCAGGGCUUAACCCUGGGUCUGCGGUGGGUACGGGCAGACUAGAGUGUGGUAGGGGAGACUGGAAUUCCUGGUGUAGCGGUGAAAUGCGCAGAUAUCAGGAGGAACACCCGUGGCGAAAGCGGCUCUCUGGGCAGUAACUGACGCUGAGGAGCGAAAGCGUGGGGAGCGAACAGG